GGGCGGGUGGCGGAACGGCAGACGCGCACGGUUCAGGUCCGUGUGUCCGUGAGGACGUGAGGGUUCAAAUCCCUCCUCGCCCA
rnacentral:tRNA from 1 species